rnacentral:tRNA from 1 species
AAGGGCUUAAGUUAAAAAAACUGAGGGUCUCCAAAACCCCUAUUAAGCCUAUAGGCUUAGCCCUUG